rnacentral:tRNA from 1 species
CAGAGAUUAGUUUAUAAAAAUAUUGGUUUUGGAGACUAAAGAUAGAAUUUUCUAUCUCUGA